UCCACCGUGGCGCUCGGUCGGGUCGCAGCCUGCCGAGCGUGGGAGGUGUUGUGGUUCCGGCGGCCGUGGGUCACUGUAGUGGCGAUGUAUUCUGGCAGCGGUGCUUUCCGAGGAGUGCUCAUUUGACUGCGGAGUGCCAGGGACAAAGUCUGAGUCAAGACCCCGCAAAUUUCAGGGGAAAACCCUGUCAUUCUUGCUGGAGAGGAGUGUUGGGAUCUCCUCUGCCUCUCUGGGCAAGGAAGGAUUCCUCAAUGGACACGUCCAGCACCUCAGCAGAAACCCAAGCCAUUAAUUUGUUACAGAGGAAAAAUUAGUGGAAAUACCUCAGAGGGGCUUACGUCCAAAUAAGCCCUGAAUAUCUCAGGAGGUUUCAGCUGGGAAAGAGGAGUUGUGGAAGAAAACCACCCUAAAAAUAGCCAGGGAUCAUCAGGUUUUCCAGCAAAUAAAAACAAGGACAGAGAUGAGGGAAUCAGGAAGUGGUCUGUGACAAGGGAAUUGGCUCCCAGGAGGCUGAGGAUCAGGGCAGGCUCAGCGCAGAGGACGACUUCUACACCCCCGGGCAAACGGGGAAGAAGUAACAUCUGCCUCCAGCUGGCUGGAGUUCCUGUUUACUCUGGGCUUUCUGUCCACCAGGAGGGGAUCAUGGCCAGAGUCAUUCAAACCUGGGGAACGAUGGCCUUCACACCAUCCCUGCAGCCCGUUCAGAGCAGGCUGCUGCCCAUUGGCCCCUGAUCACAAGUGGAUGUGGAAGUGAUGUUGUUUAGGGAAUGCUGAUUGUAUUUCCCAAACUUUGGCAACAUGGUCAUUUAAAAGAGAAAAAUAUCAAGUCUAUGGAAAUCCCCUGCAGUUGGGAGCUUGUGGUGCUCUGGAUUAAAACUUGGCUUUAUAAUGUUAAAAUUGUGGGCGAGGCGAGGGGCGGUGGCUGAGCAGGGCCAGUGGUGUGCUAGACAAGGCUGGCCUGGGGAUUGCGCAGGGACACGGCCUGGGGGUCUCUUCCCUGCGGGGUCACAGCCGUGGGACCUGCCUCUGCCCCACGCAGUGCCUCCUGGUGGGCCCCGCCCAUCGUUGGGGACUGUUUUCUUUCCCUGGUCCCAGAUGGUCUGCAAGGUGACGCUCAUCGCCAAGGAUUGGGUGCAGGCUGUACUGGGACUGGGGUUUUGUCAGGCAGGAUAAGUUUUUGAUUUUUGAGGCUUCCCGGGAACCAUGUUCUCAAGGGAGUGCUGUGAGCAUGCACCAAUAGCCAGCGGUGGCUUGUGGGUAGUGGAGCGGUUGAGGUGUGCUGAUGAAGGGGUGGGUGUGUGUAGUGUAGGGUUCUAACCUUGUGUUUGUGUUUUUUCUGUUUCAGGGUUUUUUACACAAUUUUUGAUUUUGAAUAAAAAAAACUCAGCUGGGGGUUUGUUGGUAUUGCCAUGUAUUGUUUUGUAAUUGUGUUGACCAUUGGAAUACAAUGUAUGGCAUUUGUGGAUUGUAUUGUAUUUUUACUGUCUUGUAACUAGUGUUGCAAUGAGGGGAAAGGGUUAACCUUUUACAGGAAGACUGCUGCAAGGGUUGAUGGGAGAUGUAGUGUCUGCAGCAGGCCCCUUCAGGAAGUGCUUGACCUAGCAUCCCCACUGGAUGGGCUUGAGAGUGACUGAUUGGGAAUGUUCUAUUGAGAUGCAGCACUGUUUGAAUGUGAAGGGUAUAUAAGCCUGGCUUGUUCCUCAAUAAAUGG